rnacentral:rRNA from 1 species
AAAGGAAUAGACGGGGCCCCGCACAAGCAGCGGAGCGUGUGGUUUAAUUCGAGGCUACACGAAGAACCUUACCUAGACUUGACAUCCCGGGAACCCCCGUGAAAGCGGGGUGCCGAAAGGCCGAGGAGACAGGUGCUGCAUGGCUGUCGUCAGCUCGUGUCGUGAGAUGUUCGGUUAAGUCCGAAAACGAGCGCAACCCUUGGGUCUAGUUACACGUGUCUAGACCAACUGCCUGCGACAAGUGGGAGGAAGGUGGGGAUGACGUCAAGUCAGCAUGGCCUUUAUGUCUAGGGCUACACACACGCUACAAUGGCGCGUACAAUGGGAAGCAAGACCGCGAGGUGGAGCGAAUCCUGAAAGCGCGUCGUAGUUCGGAUUGCAGGCUGCAACUCGCCUGCAUGAAGCUGGAGUUGCUAGUAAACGCAGGUCAGCAUACUGCGUUGAAUACGUUCUCGGGGCUUGUACACACCGCCCGU